rnacentral:rRNA from 1 species
AACGAACGCUGGCGGCAUGCCUAACACAUGCAAGUCGAACGACACCUUCGGGUCAAGUGGCGCACGCGUGCGUAACGCGUGGGAACCUGCCCUUAGAUUCGGAAUAACUCCCCGACAGGGGGGCUAAUACCGGAUAAUGUCUUCGGACCAAAGAUUUAUCGCCUUUGGAUGGGCACGCGUUGGAUUAGCUAGUUGGUAGGGUAAAAGCCUACCAAGGCGACGAUCCAUAGCUGGUCUGAGAGGAUGGUCAGCCACACUGGGACUGAGACACGGCCCAGACUCCUACGGGAGGCAGCAGUGGGGAAUAUUGGACAAUGGGCGAAAGCCUGAUCCAGCAAUGCCGCGUGAGUGAUGAAGGCCUUAGGGUUGUAAAGCUCUUUUACCCGGGAUGAUAAUGACAGUACCGGGAGAAUAAGCUCCGGCUAACUCCGUG